rnacentral:misc_RNA from 1 species
UACAAGUUAACAAAGAAAGUAUGAACACUUUAUAUAAUUCAAUUUAAGGAGUGCUGGGUGAGAGGGAGAGAGAGAGAGCUGCAAUUUAAUUGUUUAGACAGAUGGCAAUGGCAACAACAGAAGCAGGGAUAAGAAAGUCUGAGUAGCUUCCUUAAAUGGGAGCCAGAACAGAGAGAAAAUUAGAACCGUUAAAUAUUUCAUGCUCAAGCAUAAUCUAUCAUUAUUGAAACCUUCACAGUAAAGGAAAGUACUAGGUUUCACUAAGAUUUUAUUUGCAUUAUCAAACAUCAUAUGAGAAACCGGGGGAAAAAAA